rnacentral:rRNA from 1 species
CGCGAAGAACCUUACCUGGGCUCGAACGGCUUUUCAACGACGGUGGAAACAUCGUUAUCCCGCAAGGGAGUAGAGUCGAGGUGCUGCAUGGCUGUCGUCAGCUCGUGUCGUGAGAUGUUGGGUUAAGUCCCGCAACGAGCGCAACCCUUGUCCUGUGUUGCCACCAUUCAGUUGGGCACUCUCAGGAGACCGCCAGCGAUAAGUUGGAGGAAGGUGGGGAUGACGUCAAGUCAUCAUGGCCUUUAUGUCCAGGGCUACACACGUGCUACAAUGGGCGGUACAAAGCGCUGCAAACCCGCGAGGGGGAGCCAAUCGCAUAAAACCGUUCUCAGUUCGGAUCGCAGGCUGCAACUCGCCUGCGUGAAGCUGGAAUCGCUAGUAAUGGUAUAUCAGAAUGAUACCGUGAAUACGUUCCCGGGCCUUGUACACACCG